rnacentral:tRNA from 1 species
GGGUGCAUAGCUCAGUCGGUAGAGCAACUGCCUUUUAAGCAGAAGGUCGAGGGUUCGAUUCCCCCUGCACCCACCA